UACAGAGGGGGCAAGCGUUGUUCGGAAUUACUGGGCGUAAAGGGCGCGUAGGUGGCCUUCUAAGUUGAACGUGAAAUCCCUGGGCUCAACCCAGGAACUGCGUCCAAGACUGGGAGGCUUGAAUCCGGGAGAGGGAUGCGGAAUUCCUGGUGUAGCGGUGAAAUGCGCAGAUAUCAGGAAGAACACCUAUGGCGAAGGCAGCUCUCUGGGACGGUACUGACGCUGAGACGCGAAAGCGUGGGGAGCGAACAGG
rnacentral:rRNA from 1 species